AAGCUUCCAAUGUGGGGUUUACGGAGGGAGCAGAGCACCGAGAGCCCAGUGCAGACCAGACAGCCGCCUCGCCAUGAAGAUCACAGGGGCCGUUCUGCUCCUCUCUCUCGCCCUCUAUUGCUCCUACUCGGAUGCUGCUGGCAGCUCUGGUAAGGUAAGUCGAUCCCCCCGUUCGUUAACACUCUCUGGUGUGAAGCAUCCCAGGUACAGUCUCUGGCUUAGAAACAGGCGAGAACUCACGGAGUCAAAGCAGGAGCAGAGUCUGCCCGAUGUCAGCCCGAGCAGAGACUGAAUCUCAGGCACUGAGCACGCCUGGGAACAGCGACACUGCAAGAAAACACCAGUGUCUCAGCUGACUCGGGCUAGCAGGUCUUGUGCUGCAGGGCUAAAGAUCGGUGCGAGAUGUUUGGGCUCUGGGAUGCACUCGGGUACCACAGCUCGGGGUGAACACACGUCUACAUGGCAGUGAGUAGACACUAGACACUUGGCCCGAGGGGUGGAUCCCAAGCGCUGUUGUACGGGGCAGUCGGGGAUGGGCCUGUGGGAAGAGCAGGGAGCGACUCAGACACAACAGGGGAGGGGAGAGUCCCAGACGUGCGUGAAGGUUUUUCUGUCUGAGUAUCCCCCGUCAGCGGAGAUGCCCCUUCGCUCCACAACAUGAAGCGUCUGUUACAUGCAGAACAAUUUCUAUCCUCUGUGUCCCCCGCCCCGUCAAAGGAAGAGUCUGCUCUCUAUCAAAAAACUCUCCCUGGAUUACAAGCUCAGAUCCUCCUGGCAGCAAGAGGGGAACUGCGAAGACAGUCAGACGGUCAGCAGGGACCAGGGCAGGAUUAGAUACUGCACGUGCCUAGGGGCAGGAACUGUUAUUUUCCCCUGUGUUCUCAGCCUGUGAAGAUGUGGGGGGUGGGGAGGACAUUAGGGUACCACUGUGAGGGACCAGUCUGCUCAGCUGUGCCCAGACCCGGCCCGGUCCGUCACAACUACUGCAAUGCCGACAAUAACGCUAAGAGUAAUACUGAUGUUCUCUGCAGGGUUACUGCAGUGAGUUUACAGAACCUCCCGAAGUCUGCACCGUGGAAUACAAGCCCGUCUGUGGCACUGAUGGCAACACAUACAGCAAUAAAUGCAACUUUUGUGGUGCUGUCUUUGUAAAGCUUGGAAGUCUUUGCUUUGAGCACGAUGGAGAAUGUGAGCCGUGUGUCAGAACCGGGCACAACGUUGAGGAACUGUAGGCGCUAGUUCUCACUAGUGGAGCCAUAUUCUCAUCUCAGCCUCCAUUCCCAGGGCUCCUGACAGCAUCGCUGACUCCCCACCUGUCUCUGCAAUAAAGGAAACUCAGAGCCA